GGUAAGAACAAGUUUCAACCGAUAUGUCAAUCCUAUGAGUUUUCAAAUGUCCAAUUUGAAAUAUGAGAACAUCUCCAAAGAAAAUGUUAAAAUAUCCAAAUCAACAAUAACGGUAAAAAAAGACACCAACAAUAUUUUUCAACCCAAGCAGCCAAAUCUAACGUGGCAUGACAUAAAAUAGCAUCUCUCUCUCUUGCUGACAAAUUUGACAGUAGCUUCAAAUAUUUUUUUAAUUCUUUAUUAAAGUUUUAUCAAAUCUCAACUCUCCUCUCUCACUGGAACCUAGAAUCUCAGUCGCCGCUCAUCCUUCUUCUUCCCUUUCUGGGAACCAAACCCAGAAACAAACCUAAAACCUCACGAUCUUCGCUGCAGUCCCGAGAAAGAAAGUCCAUGGAGUCCAUCACCACACCUGCAAACGGAGUUGCAGGCCAAAAGAUUCUCUCUCCCAUUCCACAGUUCCUCUCGUCUUUCUCCUUCCCACUCUCCACCCUUUCCACAGUAUCUUGGAAUCAAGAGAUUUCCAGAAAGAAGGGGCUGGGCUUCGUUUCACAUUUAAAAAAUAAAAUGAACAUGAAAAGAAAAUAGUGUAAUAAAGUAAUAAUUUAAUUUGACAUAUCUGGUAGAAAACAUAACUUCAAAAAAUGUCAAAGUACCACGUAGGCCGUCAAAUUCAAAUUUUAUACUUAAAAUUUGACAUCUCCUUUGGAAAUGCUCGAGAAAAGGUGGUGUCAAAUAAUUUUUAAUUAUUUUAUUGUGUGAGUCCCGUUAAUGCACCAAUUAUAGAUUUUGAAAUUUUAUUUUAAUUGAUUUCUUUUUAAAAUAGGUCUUACAAAUAUCAUUUAUAACAAAAAAAUAUAUCAGUUGGAAAAAGAAAAAAUCUGACAUUACCACGUCAACCAUCAAAUUAACAUUUCACAUUUAUCUUUUGACAUCUCCAUUAAAGAUGCUCUUAGAGAUCAAAUUUAACUUGCAUGAGCUCCAAUUUUUUUUAAAAAAAAUUAUAAAUGCAAUAUUUAGGGAGAACGAAUCAAACUCAGCAUCUUAAGUGCAUAAAGCAAAUGUUAUAAACCAAUUGAAUUACAGACCCAUUGUCGUGAAUUACAACUGAAACGGAAGUUUCAAUCUCAAUUUUAACUCGAGAUCCACAAACUACACUUGACAUGAAAUUUAUAUUCGUGUUUUGACCUUCAAAAAUAAGACGUGCCAAAUAGUACAACACCUAUAUUAUCUCCAACUUAACCACCUAUAGCACAAAAAGUGGGGUUUUAUCCCUAAAGACCUCAGCACAACUGGAAGUUAAACUAUUCAAUAUAAGUUGUGACUUUUUUUGUAAGAUGACUGACGUAAAACUGUUUGCCUUAUUUAACACGAACCCUCACGUUCAUACACUUUGGAGUAGCCAUGUGUGGAGCUACAUGGAUCAUAUUUGUAAGUGACCCCACUAAUUUAGGCCUAGAUCUGAAAAUACGCUCUGAUACCAUGCUAAAUUUUAAGAGAGAUUUGCCAAAUGAUCCAACACCUAUAGACUUCCAACAUAAUCACACAAAACCCAAUAAGAGUAAAUUUUAUCUCAAAAGUCUCGAAUUAGAAGCUGAACCAUUUAACAAUAUGAUGACCAAUGUGAAACCUUUUACUUUAUUCAACAAUAUUUAGACCCAAAAAUAACAUUUAAGUCCAAACUUUCCGCUAAAUUGAAGCCGAGCUUUCUUCAGGCCAUGUCAUUGAUAUAGUUGAUAUAACAAGGUUUUACUUUUGUUAAAAGUGACGUCUCAGCGUCACCAUUUAUGUUCUGCAGAUGACCACUAAACAAGAUGAGGGUCAUCACCUUACGUGCUCAUCGGCAUUCCUGUCAAUUUUUAUUUUGUGCAAGUAAAGUCGCCAUCCAGCUCUCGGUCUAGUGGUACUUUCCGUCUAAAACAUUGAAAGAGAUCCAAAGUUUGCAAUAAAAAACACCGAAAAGGCAAUUUCUUGAUUCUCUUCAGACAUUUGUGAUAAACACCCAAAAGGCAGAAAGCAGCAAAGGCUUCAAAACACAUCACACCAACUCAUAAACAAGAGAAAAACUGAACUACAAAAGCAGACGGGGCUGCGCCCCAACAAGUACACAACCCACACACAUCCCCUUCCCCCCAAAGAGAGACAACAAAAUGCAAAAGUUAGUCCCAUCCAGUGCCACUAAGUACAAACAAUAUGCAAUAAGUCGCCAAUCAGAUUAUGUACUCAACCGACAGAGGAUAUAUGCCUGCUUAAAUCGUGUUUGCAACAAGCAAUUCUUGUAUCAUGAUCAUGCCGACGGCAUUCAUUCAUAGAACCUGCCAAAUGCGGUGUACAAGAGAGAUCACUUUUAACUAUAGCUAGACAGUGACACGAUGACCAUGCGUAACAUAAUAAAUCAACCUACCACUCAGAAUCGUCGAGUUUCAACCCCACAACUUUCCGACUAGGCCUUCAAAACUUAGGUCUGAAGCUCCAGCAUCCAUCAAGUUGGGAUGUAACAUACAAUUGAAAGAAACUCCAAACUUACCUGAACAUGAACAUGAACAAAACUGCCAGCAGCAGAACUUGAUAGGAACCUUGCACUUAAAUUUUGUGUUCAACCAAAAAUUUCCCAGGACGGCAAAUUUUUCGUUGCAUGGCAUUCAAUUUAUAAAAAUGCAGGCAGGUGUAAUUAAAGCUCAAACACAAACGUGAACACCACCAAGCACACAGCUUAAGAAAUAGUAGCUACUCUAGAAACAGAUCCCUCGAGUCUACUCCAAUUCCACCACCCAAGUCGUGUUGACAUUGAGCUUCAAUUACACAUCCUCCUCACUUUUAAAUCAGAACUAGUAGACCUCAAAAACAGUUGUGUAGAUGGAUUUCACAACAGAUAUCGUAAACCAAAAAUGUAAUAUGAAAUGAUGGAGAAGUGAAAUCAUAAAUGCGUGCAGUCAGAUGAUACAACAAUAUGCUACAUCACAAAGUAACCGGUUAAGUUUUCAUGAUCCACAACAUAUAAAUUCAAACAACAAAGUAAUCAAACUACAUAGCUGAGAAAACACAAAUACAGAGGCAACAUUGAAGUAACAUGGCUUCAUAAUGUCAAAGUGUAACAG